rnacentral:rRNA from 1 species
AGUGAACGCUGGCGGUAGGCCUAACACAUGCAAGUCGAACGGCAGCACAGUAAGAGCUUGCUCUUACGGGUGGCGAGUGGCGGACGGGUGAGGAAUACAUCGGAAUCUACUUUUUCGUGGGGGAUAACGUAGGGAAACUUACGCUAAUACCGCAUACGACCUACGGGUGAAAGCAGGGGAUCUUCGGACCUUGCGCGAUCGAAUGAGCCGAUGUCGGAUUAGCUAGUUGGCGGGGUAAAGGCCCACCAAGGCGACGAUCCGUAGCUGGUCUGAGAGGAUGAUCAGCCACACUGGAACUGAGACACGGUCCAGACUCCUACGGGAGGCAGCAGUGGGGAAUAUUGGACAAUGGGCGCAAGCCUGAUCCAGCCAUACCGCGUGGGUGAAGAAGGCCUUCGGAUUGUAAAGCCCUUUUGUUGGGAAAGAAAAGCAGCAGGUUAAUACCCCGCUGUUCUGACGGUACCCAAAGAAUAAGCACCGGCUAACUUCGUG